rnacentral:sRNA from 1 species
UUUUUGAAAAAUAGUCUAGCCGUGCGGCUAUACUACUUUUUUGGACACGUGGCGCCUAAUCGCUGGAGGCUCCUUUUUUUAAAAACCAAAAAAAGUACAGCCGCACGGCUAUACUUAUACUCAGUUUUUAAAAUUUUUUUUUAAAAUUUUUUUAU